ACUCCGGUUGAUCCUGCCGGACCCGACUGCUAUCGGAUUGGGAUUUAGCCAUGUUAGUUGUGCGUGCUUGGCUACAGGCACGCAGCGUACGGCUCAGUAACACGUAGUCAACCUGCCCUGGAGACGCGGACAAACCCGGGAAACUGGGGCCUAUCCGCGAUAGAUGGCCUCAUCUGGAAGGAGGGGCCGUCCAAAAGGGCGCACGGGUAUGCUCUGUGCGAACCGCUCCAGGAUGGGACUGCGGCCGAUCAGGCUGUUGGCGGGGUAAUGGCCCACCAAACCUGUAACCGGUACGGGCUUUGAGAGAAGGAGCCCGGAGAUGGACACUGAGACAAGGGUCCAGGCCCUACGGGGCGCAUCAGGCGCGAAAACUUCGCAAUGCGCGAAAGCGUGACGAGGCUAGUCCGAGUGCCGCCUGCUAAAGGUGGCUUUUCUCGGCUGUAAAUAGGCCGGGGAAUAAGGGGAGGGCAAGUCUGGUGUCAGCCGCCGCGGUAAUACCAGCUCCUCGAGUGGUCGGGACGAUUAUUGGGCCUAAAGCACCCGUAGCCGGUUUCGUAAGUCCUCUGUUAAAUCCAG
rnacentral:rRNA from 1 species